rnacentral:rRNA from 1 species
UGGGGAAUUGUUCGCAAUGGGCGCAAGCCUGACGACGCAACGCCGCGUGGAGGAUGAAGAUCUUCGGGUCGUAAACUCCUGUCGAGCGGGAAGAAUAGUUUCGGCGUGAAUAUCGCCGGAGCCUGACGGUACCGCUAAAGGCAGCCCCGGCUAACUUCGUGCCAGCAGCCGCGGUAAUACGAGGGGGGCGCGCGUUGUUCGGAAUUAUUGGGCGUAAAGGGUGCGUAGGCGGUUCGGUAAGUUUCGUGUGAAAUCUUCGGGCUCAACUCGAAGUCUGCACGAAAUACUGCCGGGCUUGAGUGUGGGAGAGGUGAGUGGAAUUUCCGGUGUAGCGGUGAAAUGCGUAGAUAUCGGAAGGAACACCUGUGGCGAAAGCGGCUCACUGGACCACAACUGACGCUGAGGCACGAAAGCUAGGGGAGCAAAC